GACGAACGCUGGCGGCGUGCCUAAUACAUGCAAGUCGAGCGGAGCUUAUCCUUCGGGAUAAGCUUAGCGGCGGACGGGUGAGUAACACGUAGGCAACCUGCCCCUUAGCCUGGGAUAACUACCGGAAACGGUAGCUAAUACCGGAUAAUCCCUUUCCUCGCCUGAGGGAAGGAUAAAAGGCGGAGUAAUCUGCCGAUAAGGGAUGGGCCUGCGGCGCAUUAGCUAGUUGGUGAGGUAACGGCUCACCAAGGCGACGAUGCGUAGCCGACCUGAGAGGGUGAACGGCCACACUGGGACUGAGACACGGCCCAGACUCCUACGGGAGGCAGCAGUAGGGAAUCUUCCGCAAUGGGCGAAAGCCUGACGGAGCAACGCCGCGUGAG
rnacentral:rRNA from 1 species